CAGAGAUGAAGGACGGCUGCCGGUAGUUCCUUCGGGAACAGCUGAGGAAGCUCCAACCUCCUUUAGGCAGCGGUACGGCGAGAGCCGUAGAAUGAGAAUUCUGCUCUGGGAACAGCAACGACACGCCCAACGCUGGUAUGACGAUGAUGCAGUCGGGGACUAUUAGUCUCAGCGACGUGUUGGCAACAAGACGUUUGAUAACCUGUUGAGGACGGCGUUGGAACCGAUGAAACGGCCUAUCACCGUGGGAGCAAGCCCAAAUAGGUCGCUGAUGAGGCGCCUUCCGAAGCGACGGGUAGGGUGCGUAGCUAGAUGCCGUCAAGCUCCCCAAGGCAACUUGGGUGGUAGAACAGAAGAUGGGCUACUCUCAUCACUG
rnacentral:RNase_P_RNA from 1 species